GACGAACGCUGGCGGCGCGCCUAACACAUGCAAGUCGAACGGAGCUGAGAGAAGCUUGCUUUUCUUAGCUUAGUGGCGAACGGGUGAGUAACGCGUGAGUAACCUGCCCUGGAGUGGGGGACAACAGUUGGAAACGACUGCUAAUACCGCAUAAGCCCACGAUCCGGCAUCGGAUUGAGGGAAAAGGAUUUAUUCGCUUCAGGAUGGACUCGCGUCCAAUUAGCUAGUUGGUGAGGUAACGGCCCACCAAGGCGACGAUUGGUAGCCGGACUGAGAGGUUGAACGGCCACAUUGGGACUGAGACACGGCCCCGACUCCUACGGGAGGGAGCAGUGGGGGAUAUUGCACAAUGGGGGAAACCCUGAUGAAGCGACGCCGGGUGGAGGAAGAAGGUUUUCGGAUUGUAAACUCCUGUCGUUAGGGACGAUAAUGACGGUACCUAACAAGAAAGCACCGGCUAACUACGUG
rnacentral:rRNA from 1 species